AUUUAAUCUAAUGCUAAUCGAUGAUAAAAGAUGUAGUCUAAAAGAUAAAGCUGAAGUUUCCUACAUUCGCUGUGACCUGCCGGCAGGUUGCACUCCUGUACUGUUGUCUCUCUCCGUCUCUCUCCGUCUCUGUGCAUUUCCAGUCUUUAUGUCUCUCAGGGGCUUUAACAAAGAGCAGACUGUCUCACACAUUCUGUUCCUCUUGGACACGCCGAAUGAUCAUAAAAAUAAGAGAGAGAUGACAGGGAUUUACGAGACUAGCAGCUGUCAGUCGUUCAUCACAGAUGAUUUCCUGUCCCAGCAGACAUGUGCACAGACUUUACACUCUCUGAUCUUUGAUUGAUGGCUGUCAAUCAUAUUCCAAGCACCUCCUGAGAAGAGCAAACCUGCUCAAGCACUUCCUGUGGUGGGAGGGGCCACAUGGCUCCUGGUGCAAUCAGGUUUAGUGGAGAACAAAAUGAAUGUUGUUAUGUUUUUAUUCUGUUUUGUGUUCAUCUGCUUCUCCCAUUUGCUCUUUUUUCAUCAUUAUAUAAUGAUACAAUCAGAUUCAACAAUAAUUAAUCAAAUAUUUAUUAUAAUAAAUACUGAUAAUUUAUCUAAUUGAUAACUGGUAAUGAUUUAUCUAUCUGUCCUAUAUAUGUAUUUAUAGAUUUAUAUAAAAGAAACAUCUGAGAUCUUCAUUUAGUCUCUAAAGCUUUGGGCAGGAUCAUGUUUAUGGAUGACCCAGAGAAUGUUUUGUGCUCUUGGACACACAUUAAAGUCGAAUGUCAAGGAAAUCAAAGCUGAAUGUUCAUUCCCUCUCUUUGUGUUCAUUCUUUUGGCUUGAUGUUUCGUUUCUCUGCAUUAGCAUAAAGCAUAAUGCUGGGAGACGAGCAGUCGUUAAAGUUGAAUGGCAUUGCGUUUGGUCAGCCGUGUAGCCGCGAGCAGCAGUAAGAGACUGAGACAGAAUUUAACCUGUGUUUUUAGUGAUAAAGAAAGUAAAAGCUUCCUUUUUAGGGGCAUGAAACACAAACAAGGAUCAUUGGUUGUUGUAAGGUCCAGGCACACGGUCCAAGGAAGGUGUCCGGUGCUGGCUGAAGGUUUCCUGCCUGUUCGGUCUUUUCAGCGCGUAGAGUUAUUAAAUUUAGGUUAAACUCAAAUCUGACUCCAUUUAAUUAUUAAAUCUGACUCCAAUUUAGUAUGACCUCGAAUUUAGGUUGAAAGGCANUUAUUUAAUCUGACUCCAAUUAAGUAUAACCUCGAAUUUAGGUUGAAAGGCAAAUUGGUUGUUUGUCUGUCUCUAAUUAUAAUUAUUC
rnacentral:lncRNA from 12 species